CUUCUUUUGAAGUGGAGACUCUGAAAAGGAGUGCUUGCUGUACACUAAUACACAGAUUCCAAGUGCAUUUGUGAAAGCAGAAAAACCUCUGAAGAUUCUUCUAAGGACUCCUAACACAGCAAAGAAAUUUGCUCUUUUGCCACCUGAAGAAGGAGGAACAGAGAUGGUGAGAGUGCCUACGUGAUGAGACAUCUGGAAGUCCUUAUCAAGAAUGAAACACUUGAGCAACCCAUUUCCUUAGCACUUACCCAAAGGCCAGAGAUGCUGUCUGCAAUACUCUGCAGGAAGUCCCAAAGCUAAGAAAGAAUUGGGAAGAAAGCUGACUACUUUGUCCAUUUACCCAGCCCACCUCACCUCCAUGAACUGAAUUAGCAGGCAUCACUCACUACAAGCUUUUGUCCUACAGAAACUCAGAGAUGGUGAACUGCAUCUGUAACCUACCCUGGGGGGAGGUCAAAGAAAUGUCUCAGAAGUGUCUGGCACAGGAACAACUCAUCAGUUAGCACGGAAGCAAUGGUUGUCUGUGCCAGGAGAGAAGCAGGGCAUUCCUCUGUGCCUGUGUGCAUGCAUUUCAACUGCGUGUUCUGCAUUGCCUUAUUCAUGGCUGGCUGCAAUAAACAGUGUA